UUGCUGGCUGUUUCUCAGUGA
rnacentral:miRNA from 1 species